CCCGCGAUGAUGAUGUGUAGAAUCUUAGAUAGUUGUGAGUUAAAACUUUGGUGUAACCAUGCCUCGACUUUGUGGUCUCAAAGCUAUCUCACAUGUUUGGAGUCACUAUGAAAGGAUUGAAGAAGAUGAUGAUGGAUGG